UAAAAUAUGGCGUUUCAAUUUUUAUAAUUUACACAUUAAAUAAAAUAAUUGAAAUAAUAAAAUCCUUUUGAAAUAAUUAAUUAAUUAAUAUUGAAUAUAUAAUAGGCCCAUUUCACCCGGGCCCAUUAGAAUAAACAAAAAAUAAAAAACUUCAAAAAUAAUAAAAGUCCAUUGGUCCAAAAAAAGGUCCAUUAGUCUAGUUACAUAAAAUAACCACCCAACCCAAUUACGAAAAUAACUUAUGACCCAAUAAGCCCUAAAACCUGAGGCCCAAUACCCCCAAAAAUUAUCUCAGCAUCCUGAGAAUGCCAAAAGCUUUUGGAGUAAGCCAGAAGGGCACCAGAAGGUCAGCCUCUCGCGAGAAAUUGCCACGCUCGGUCUCCACGUCACCAGGGUCGUUCCUCUGUACGGACGUUCCUGCAAAAAACACACGAGAAGAGAGAUAACCGAAUUCACAAAAGAUGACGGCAAUGAAAAUGUAAUUUUGUUUUUUUACUUUAUUCUGUAAAUCCGGCUAUAAAAGCCGUUGAAUGUACUCCAAAAAGGGAACCUACGCUCACUGUAUCUAUAACACGCACAGAGAAUAGAGAAAAAGCAAUUUAAGAUUAGCAAAGGUGAUUUCAAGUUUUCUUUUGUCCUCUCUUAUGAUUUUUUUAGUUUUUUUUUCAUUUGGUUCGGAUUUUUUUUAGUAUGUGAGUCGAUCCCAAUGAAAGCCCGAAUACUUCAGAAAUACUGAGGCAAAGGCGAGGGAACAAAUAGUUUUGAAUCUUUGCUUUAUGAACCUAUCUUCGUUUUUUUUUUUAAAAUAAUGUGAGAUUUGAAGUUUUUUUUUUUAAAUAAAAAAGGGAGGAAGAAAAUACUUACUAAAUCUCUCUAGGCAUGGUCGAGCGCCUUCAACGGGGAUGAUGGGUACUGUUUGCGUACUGUUGAUCACCAAAAUAAUGGUGGUUCGGCUGCUAGCAAAAGAAACCCUAGAAUUUUGAUUUCAAGGCUGUGAUUUUCGGCCAAAAAUGGGGCUGCGUUUGAAAAGGGAAAUGGGGAAAGAAAGGUUUUAAGUAACCUUUUAACAAAACGGUGUCGUUUGUAAUAUUGAGAAAGGUCCGCGCGGUGACUCAUUUGGCAGGCCCAAUCUGCGCAUUACCACUCAAAAUGGGGAAUUUGCGCAAAAAAUCCUUCCCCUUGCGCACAGCCUUCAAUUUGCGCCCAAUUUGCCUACCUUAUGUUUUAAAAUUUGGCCUUCUAAUUUGUGCGUUGUUUCACUUUGAUCCGCGGUUCAUUGCAGCAUUGUGGGCGCGAGAUAUUUACAAUUUCAGUCCCCAUACAUUUAUGCGCUUUGAGAAUUGGUCCAUGUUAUGAUUACUUUAUUUCCAAAUUAUCCUCCCUAUUUUAUUGUAGUAUUAAUUUGGUCUUAUAGUUGUAUAAUCGGUUAAUUUAAAAUAUAUUUAAUAUGUUU
rnacentral:lncRNA from 1 species